AUUAGAAGACACCUACUUUGAUAGAGAUGUGGAGAAGGCAUUUAUGAAGGCUAGCUCUGAACUCUUCAGUCAGAAAACAAAGGCAUCUUUACUUGUAUCAAAUCAAAAUGGAAAUAUGUACACAUCUUCAGUAUAUGGUUCCCUUGCAUCUGUUCUAGCACAGUACUCACCUCAGCAAUUAGCAGGGAAGAGAAUUGGAGUGUUUUCUUAUGGUUCUGGUUUGGCUGCCACUCUGUACUCUCUUAAAGUCACACAAGAUGCUACACCGGGUAAGUGCUGAAUCUUUCAACAAGAAUGUAUUGAGAACUGAGGCCAGGCAUAGUGGCUCACACCCAUAAUCCCUGCACUUUGGGAGGCCGAGGCGGGCAGAUCACGUGAGGUCAGGAGUUCGAGACCAGUCUGGCUAACAUGGUGAAACCCCAUCUCUACUAAAAAUGCAAAAAUUAGCCAGGUGAGGUGGUGCAUGCCUGUAGUCCUAGCUACUCGGGGGGCUCAAGUAGGAGAAUUGCUUGAAUCCAGGAGAGGGAGGUUGUGGUGAGCCAAGAUCACACCACUGUGCUCCAGCCUGGGUGACAGAGCGAGACUCUCUC
rnacentral:sRNA from 1 species